AUAGCAAGUGAUGAAGUGUAGUAUCUGUUCUUAUCAGUUUAAUAUCUGAUACGUGGGCCAAUGGCUCACACGAUAUUAAAUUUAUUUUUUUAAGGGGCAAAUUUAUUUUUUUAAGGGAAGGGCCCAUCACAGUAGCUUGCUAUUGGGGUCCUUGCGUGUCGCCUUGGCGUUGCACUAUUGCCUUGGCCUGGCGCACCCCAC